rnacentral:tRNA from 1 species
CUGCCCCUGGAUGACGGGCCGACAUUCGAUCUUUUCAAGGCCGGCAACACCGACGGGGUCUUCCAGUUCGAAUCCCAAGGGAUGAA